CACGCAGGCGGUUUGUUAAGUCAGAUGUGAGAUCCCCGGGCUCAACCUGGGAACUGCAUCUGAUACUGGCAAGCUUGAGUCUCGUAGAGGGGGGUAGAAUUCCAGGUGUAGCGGUGAAAUGCGUAGAGAUCUGGAGGAAUACCGGUGGCGAAGGCGGCCCCCGUCGGACGAAGACUGACGCUCAGGUGCGAAAGCGUGGGGAGCAAACA
rnacentral:rRNA from 1 species